GAUGAACGCUAGCGGCAGGCCUAAUACAUGCAAGUCGAACGAUAUCAUGCAGCUUGCUAGAUGAGAAAGUGGCGCACGGGUGCGUAACGCGUAUGCAACCUACCUUUAUCAGGGGGAUAGCCCGGAGAAAUCCGGAUUAAUACCGCAUAAAAUCACAGGAUGGCAUUAUCCAAUGAUCAAACAUUUAUGGGAUAAAGAUGGGCAUGCGUGUCAUUAGCUAGUUGGCGGGGUAACGGCCCACCAAGGCGACGAUGACUAGGGGAUCUGAGAGGAUGGCCCCCCACACUGGUACUGAGACACGGACCAGACUCCUACGGGAGGCAGCAGUAAGGAAUAUUGGUCAAUGGGCGGAAGCCUGAACCAGCCAUGCCGCGUGCAGGAAGACUGCCCUAUGGGUUGUAAACUGCUUUUAUCCGGGAAUAAACCUGCUUACGUGUAAGUGGCUGAAUGUACCGGAAGAAUAAGGAUCGGCUAACUCCGUGCCAGCAGCCGCGGUAA
rnacentral:rRNA from 1 species